UACGUAGGGGGCUAGCGUUGUCCGGAUUUAUUGGGCGUAAAGAGCUCGUAGGUGGUUCGGUAAGUCGGAUGUGAAAUCUCCAGGCUCAACCUGGAGGGGUCAUUCGAUACUGCCGUGACUAGAGUUCGGUAGGGGAGUGUGGAAUUCCUGGUGGAGCGGUGAAAUGCGCAGAUAUCAGGAGGAACACCCGUAGCGAAGGCGGCACUCUGGGCCGAUACUGACACUGAGGAGCGAAAGCGUGGGGAGCGAACAGG
rnacentral:rRNA from 1 species